rnacentral:misc_RNA from 1 species
AUCCCCGCUGUAGCGGCGACGUCCUCCCUUGCAUUCCUCUUCAGUCGUUGGCCCAAGAGCAACGUCACCGGCCUUGGCCGCCCGCGGGUUUCCUGUAUUGCGUACCUACCGGAAGGAAUUCGGACGUCGCAACGACCGACGUUCUCCCGGCGCUGUGGCUGCCCUCGGGUGGGCACGGCGUGGGGUGAACCGCGAAGGCGAGUUCGUGCUCCGAGUCGCAGCCAAGCGACGCGUCUCGGGCCACGAGCUGCUGCCUGAGCUCUCGGAUGCUGUGCACCGUGAGGGCAGGGGUUGCUCGACGACCUCCGUUUGCCCGAACUCGGCGUCAAUCGCCCGCACCGAACGACGGCCGUCGUCGCCUCGAGGCUGCCGCGCCCCGUCGGGGCUGCCGGGCUCGUGCGACGCCGGCGUCGGUUAGGAAUGCU